UACAGAGGUCUCAAGCGUUGUUCGGAUUCAUUGGGCGUAAAGGGUGCGUAGGCGGCGCGGUAAGUCGGGUGUGAAAUCUCGGAGCUUAACUCCGAAACUGCAUUCGAUACUGCCGGUGCUUGAGGACUGGAGAGGAGACUGGAAUUUACGGUGUAGCGGUGAAAUGCGUAGAUAUCGUAAGGAAGACCAGUGGCGAAGGCGGGUCUCUGGACAGUUCCU
rnacentral:rRNA from 1 species